UUUCCGUAGGUGAACCUGCGGAAGGAUCAUUAAUAAAUGGUCUACGUUUUUUUAAGUAGACGCUUAAUAAUCCUACCCUUUGUGAAUUUGUUUGUUUGAAAUAAUUUUUUUUAAAAUUAUUGAUGUCUUUCCCUGUUGAAUUGGUUGUUUAUGGACAUGAUUCGCAGGGAGUGUCAGUAAUUUUUAAAAAGACCUUUUUUAAAUUAAACUUUUUGUAUUCAUUUGUCUAAAAUUAUUUUAUAAUAUAAAAACAACUUUUGACAAUGGAUCUCUUGGUUCUCGCAACGAUGAAGAACGCAGCAAAAUGCGAUAAGUAGUGUGAAUUGCAGAAUACGUGAAUCAUCGAAUCUUCGAACGCAUAUUGCACUUUUUUAGUUUACUAAAAAAGUAGUCUGUUUGAGUAUCAGUAAAAUAUUCUCAUAAAAACAUUGUUUUUUAUGGUUAUGAGUGUUUUACAACGAUACAAGUUGUUUCACUUUAAAUUUUUUUUAAAAUUUGAAUUUUUCUAAUUUUAAAAUAAAAUUGGAUAAAAUUUUCCCGUAAAAAGGAAUAACCUAAACAAUUUUAAUUUUUGAUUAGAAUUCUUCAAUUAUAAAGGAAAAUUUAACUAAAUAACUUGAUCUCAAAUCAGAUAAGAGUACCCGCUGAACUUAAGCAUAUCAAUAAGCGGAGGAAAAGAAACUAACAAGGAUUCCCUUAGUAACGGCGAGUGAAGCGGGAAGAGCUCAAAUUUGAAAUCUUCAAGGUUUUACCUUGACGAAUUGUAGUUUAAAGAAGUGUUUUCUGUUGAAGUUUUGGUAAAAGUUCUUUGGAAUAGGACAUCAUAGGGGUGAGAAUCCCGUAUUUGACCAUUAUUUUCAGCUGUGUGAUACACUUUCAAAGAGUCGGAUUGUUUGGGAAUGCAGUCCAAAAUGGGUGGUAAAUUUCAUCUAAAGCUAAAUAUUGGCGAGAGACCGAUAGCGAACAAGUACCGUGAGGGAAAGAUGAAAAGAACUUUGAAAAGAGAGUUAAACAGUACGUGAAAUUGUCAAAAGGGAAGCGUUUGACACCAGUGUUGUUUUCUCGAAAAUCAAUUAAAAAAAGUUGGAUUUUGUGUUGUAUUGACCUUAACAGCUUGCUUCACUCUUUUCUGCUUUUUUUAAUGCACUUUUCGUUUAGCAAGUCAACAUCAGUUUCUUUUGUUGUAAAAGGGUCAUUGGAAGGUGGCUUUCUCUUCGGAGAAAGUGUUUAUAGCCUUUGAUCUCUGCAAUCGGAGAGACUGAGGUCUGCAGCGUAGAUCCUUCGGGUUAGAUACAUUUGUGCUAAGCUACAGCUUUUCAUAGACAACUUGUUGACUAUGUUUAGUCUUGUAACUUACCCGCUUAUGCUAUUU
rnacentral:misc_RNA from 1 species